GAGUCUAGCAUGUGCGCGAGUCUUUGGGUAUUAAACUAAACCUAUAGGCGAAAUGAAAGUGAAAGUCCGCCUCGUGCGGACGUAGGGAGGAUGGGCCGUCCUACGAGUCGGCCCCGCACUCCCGGGGCGUCUCCGCGUCUCGGUCGCUCGCGAUCGAGAGGGGGCGCACCUAGAGCGUACACGCUGGGACCCGAAAGAUGGUGAACUAUGCCUGGUCAGGACGAAGUCAGGGGAAACCCUGAUGGAGGUCCGUAGCGAUUCUGACGUGCAAAUCGAUCGUCGGAACUGGGUAUAGGGGCGAAAGACUAAUCGAACCAUCUAGUAGCUGGUUCCCUCCGAAGUUUCCCUCAGGAUAGCUGGCGCUCGCCAGAGAGAAAGUCUCAUCUGGUAAAGCGAAUGAUUAGAGGCAUUGGGGUCGAAACGGCCUCAACCUAUUCUCAAACUUUAAAUGGGUGAGAUCUCCGGCUUGCUUAAAUAGUGAAGCCGCGAGAUUACGGAUCAGAGUGCCAAGUGGGCCACUUUUGGUAAGCAGAACUGGCGCUGUGGGAUGAACCAAACGUCGAGUUAAAGCGCCCAAAUCGAAGCUUAUGGGACACCAUGAAAGGCGUUGGUAACUUAAGACAGCAGGACGGUGGCCAUGGAAGUUGGA
rnacentral:rRNA from 1 species